CUUUUAAGUGCUGGGAUUAAAGGUGCUUGCCACUGAAAGACCCCCAAAGUGGGGAGACCCUCACUCAAGUCUCGGGAUAACACAAGAACUCACGAGAGACCAAUCUUGAU
rnacentral:pre_miRNA from 14 species